GACGGAGGAUGCAAGCGUUAUCCGGAAUUAUUGGGCGUAAAGCGUCCGCAGGUGGCUGUUCAAGUCUGCUGUCAAAAGCGCAGAGCUUAACUCUGUACAGGCGGUGGAAAACUGAAGAGCUAGAGUAUGGUAGGGGUAGAGGGAAUUCCCGGUGUAGCGGUGAAAAUGCGUAGAUAUCGGGAAGAACACCAGUGGCGAAAAGCGCUCUACUGGGCCAUAACUGACACUGAGGGGACGAAAAGCUAGGGGGAGCGAAAAGGG
rnacentral:rRNA from 1 species